GUGAGAUCAUGACCUGAGCCGAAGUCAGAUGCUCAACCGACUGAGACACCCAGGGGCCCCAUCGUUGCUUUUCAGAUACAAGGACUUAUUGUUAUCACUAUGUGCUGCUCUGAUUGUCAUCCUAGGAUCCUUGUUUUUGCUUUCCUCCCCCACUGGCCAUGCCAGAGAUGCUCUUACUGAAGUACUGUGGAUCGCCCACCUGACCAUUUCUAACUCCUCCGUCACUGCAGAAAGGUCUCUGGUGCCUCUCCCCAAACUAUCUUCAUAGCAUACCACAGUGUGCAGGAAACCACUGAUUUGGUGAGCAAACCCGCCGCUGGAGACACAGAGAGCUGCAGCAUCACCCAACUGUCUGGGGUCAGCAAGCAACCCCUCGAGAGCCAUCACCAGCAGCAGCCAGGCUUCCACAGUAAGUGUAGACAGCCCAGAGCUGUUAGGGGGCACCUCCGGCUCAUGGAGGAAGAACGCAGAUGGGACCAGAGCCAGCUACACUCGGUGAGCACCAGCACCGCUGUCGUGGUGAGGCGACGCUGAGAGUAGACCCAGCGGGUGGUCUCUUGAGUCUGUUUUACACGGGGGUGUAGAGCAUGUCACAGAGUCCUGGGGGACAUUCUACAUCUCAGGUGCCACCCACGCUUUCCUGAGUUCUCCAGCUCACGCUUUACUGCUAUCACCUUUCAACUCCCAUGACGUGUUGCUUUUCACACCAGUCACCCAGUUGCAACCGCGACAGUUGGGAUGUUCUGCCUUGGAGUUCUGCUUAUUUGUGUACUUUGUCUUAUCCCCCCUGCUAGACUCGUAAGCUCCCUAGGAUGGGGACCACGAGCCCUGUGGCAUGAGAGACGGGGAUCCGCAAAGUAUUUGCGGAUUUCAAUACAGAGAAACUUCUUCCACUGCAGUAUAAAGCAGGAGCUAUAUUCUAUUCUUGAUGCUUCCAGGGUGACUCACACACA